rnacentral:rRNA from 1 species
UACAGAGGUCUCAAGCGUUGUUCGGAUUCAUUGGGCGUAAAGGGUGCGUAGGUGGCGGGGUAAGUCAGGUGUGAAAUCUCAGGGCUCAACCCUGAAACUGCAUUCGAUACUGCGCGGCUAGAGUGCUGGAGGGGAGACUGGAAUUUACGGUGUAGCAGUGAAAUGCGUAGAUAUCGUAAGGAAGACCAGUGGCGAAGGCGAGUCUCUGGACAGCAACUGACGCUGAGGCACGAAGGCCAGGGGGAGCAAAACGGGG